UCGAGAAUUUUUCACAAUGGGCGCAAGCCUGAUGGAGCGACGCCGCGUGGGGGAUGAAUGGCUUCGGCCCGUAAACCCCUGUCAUUUGCGAUCAACCGUUAUUAUUUAAAAGAUGAUGACCUGAUAGUAGCGGAAGAGGAAGGGACGGCUAACUCUGUGCCAGCAGCCGCGGUAAUACAGAGGUCCCAAGCGUUGUUCGGAUUCACUGGGCGUAAAGGGUGCGUAGGUGGCAAGGUAAGUCGGAUGUGAAAUCUCCGAGCUCAACUCGGAAAUGGCAUUGGAAACUGCUUUGCUCGAGGGUUGGAGGGGGGACUGGAAUACUUGGUGUAGCAGUGAAAUGCGUAGAUAUCAAGUGGAACACCAGUGGCGAAGGCGAGUCCCUGGACAACUCCUGACACUGAGGCACGAAAGCUAGGGGAGCAAACA
rnacentral:rRNA from 1 species